GAUGAACGCUGGCGGCGUGCUUAACACAUGCAAGUCGAACGAGCCUUCGGGCUAGUGGCGGACGGGUGAGUAACGCGUGGGAAUCUGCCCUCAGGAGGGGGAUAACGGCCGGAAACGGCCGCUAAUACCCCAUAUGCCGAGAGGUGAAACGAAAUUCGCCUGGGGAUGAGCCCGCGUCUGAUUAGCUAGUUGGUGUGGUAAUGGCGCACCAAGGCAUCGAUCAGUAGCUGGUCUGAGAGGAUGAUCAGCCACACUGGGACUGAGACACGGCCCAG
rnacentral:rRNA from 1 species